UACGUAGGGUGCGAGCGUUAAUCGGAAUUACUGGGCGUAAAGCGUGCGCAGGCGGCUUGCCAAGUCAGAUGUGAAAGCCCCGGGCUUAACCUGGGAAUGGCGUUUGAAACUGGCAGGCUAGAGUUUGGCAGAGGGGGGUGGAAUUCCACGUGUAGCAGUGAAAUGCGUAGGGAUGUGGAGGAACACCGAUGGCGAAGGCAGCCCCCUGGGCCAAAACUGACGCUCAGGCACGAAAGCGUGGGGAGCAAACAGG
rnacentral:rRNA from 1 species